rnacentral:rRNA from 1 species
GACGAACGCUGGCGGCGUGCCUAAUACAUGCAAGUAGAACGCUGAAGGAGGAGCUUGCUUCUCUGGAUGAGUUGCGAACGGGUGAGUAACGCGUAGGUAACCUGCCUGGUAGCGGGGGAUAACUAUUGGAAACGAUAGCUAAUACCGCAUAACAGUAGAUAUCGCAUGAUAUCUACUUGAAAGGUGCAAUUGCAUCACUACCAGAUGGACCUGCGUUGUAUUAGCUAGUUGGUGAGGUAACGGCUCACCAAGGCGACGAUACAUAGCCGACCUGAGAGGGGGAUCGGCCACCCUGGGACUGAGACACGGCCCAGACUCCUACGGGAGGCAGCAGUAGGGAAUCUUCGGCAAUGGACGGAAGUCUGACCGAGCAACGCCGCGGGAGUGAAGAAGGGUUUCGGAUCGUAAAGCUCUGUUGUAAGAGAAGAACGAGUGUGAGAGUGGAAAGUCCACACUGUGACGGUAUCUUACCAGAAAGGGACGGCUAACUACGUG